GGCGAUAUGGCCGAGCGGUCUAAGGCGUGCGACUCAAGCGCAAGCUUGCCUGAUUACAGGUUUCGCAUAGAGCAAUCUGCGUGGGUUCGAAUCCCACUGUCGUCA